UACAGAGGUCUCAAGCGUUAUUCGGAAUUAUUGGGCGUAAAGGGCGCGUAGGCGGCUUUUCAAGUGACGGGUGAAAUCCCUCGGCUUAACCGAGGAACUGCCUGUCAGACUGGAAGGCUUGAGACCGGGAGAGGUGAGUGGAAUUCCCAGUGUAGCGGUGAAAUGCGUAGAUAUUGGGAGGAACACCAGUGGCGAAGGCGGCUCACUGGACCGGAACUGACGCUGAGGCGCGAAAGCGUGGGGAGCAAACAGG
rnacentral:rRNA from 1 species